ensembl:lncRNA
CUCGGGCUUCCGAGCUCAGAAGCACCGCACAUGCAGUUUUCCACUCGUGGGCGGUCCGUAGUGAAUGACUGACGGACACAAGCACAAGUGGGAGGGCCGGGUUUAAGAGUGGGCGGUCCCUACCUCGUGAGAGUUGCUGCAGUGUGUGGAGUGUGUGUCAGUGUGUCUGAGACCUGCUGGGUAGUGAGCUGGUGUGUUUGGGAACACACACACAAAAUUAUUGGGACUACAGGACUAGCAGCACAAUGAAGCAAGAGAGCCGAAGAUUAGGAAGGACACAUUUCUUACAGCAUGCAUCCAGUUACAUCUGUGAAGACUGCUUUGGUUAAAAAGGAUAAGCCAACAUGAAGAUCAGAGAGCUGUCUAUGGGAGAAAAGCAAGCAAUUUUGAAGCUGAGAAAAGGGGAAAAAUCAAUCCGUGGCACUGCACAAGCAUUGGGCAUAGCCAGUGCAACAAUUUGGAAAGAAACCACUGGUGUACCGAGCAACAGACACCAAAUGGGUCGGCCAAGGAAAACAAGAAGAUGGCAGAAACACUUGUGAGAGUUGUGAAGAAAAACCUAAAAACUACAGUCCGUGACGUCACCAACAACCUCCACAGGUGAGGGAUGAAGGUAUCACAAUCCACCGUUCGAAGAAGACUUCGACAGCAGAAAUAUAGAGGCCAUACCACAUCAGCGCAUUCUCAAAGUUUCUGUCAUCAGCUGCUGUCGGGGUCUGGAAAUUUACACUGACACAAUACAAAUCUAUUCCUUUCAAAUAUUACACACUGUUUUAAAGUCCAACAUCAAGACCAUCAUUGGAACAGUGAAAAAGUAACACUGUUCAGCAUUUCUUAUUUAUUUCCCUAAAUCAUUUUCCCCAAGGUGUAGAAUUGUCUUGGUGCCCAUGUACAAUAUCAUGAAUAAAGAAUAAAUAUGAGAACAGGUAAACCACGAGUUAAUUAGUUAAUUAAGUAGUAACAUUAUGAAGUAACAAGCAGAGCUGAUGUUGAGAACUGUAAGAAGCGCGUGUAUGAGACGAGACUGUGUGGCUUUUCGUGCAUAUACAGGUUGAAUUCAUUUAAUAUAGUGCUUGCAAGAUGCCCAGCGUUUACCAGACACAGCACCAUGGCUUGACUUUUUAAAAGUACGCCACUGGCGAAUAGGCGAUAUUUCAGUGUUAUAUAGUGGAAGGUGAGGUCAACAACAAAAAAAUCACUACAUCAAAGAUGAUUGCCAAACAGCUCUGGUUCAGUGAAACAUUAUAUUCAAUAAUGUUGAACACCCUCAGUCUGGAGUGAUUAAAUCGUUCUUCCAUGUGCUUCUGAUCAACCGUUCAAGAACAUCAACAAGGUCACAUGCUCACUGCGAUGCGCUCCAGCUGACAUCCUCAGCCAACGUACUUAAAGCCAGCUGCUCGAGAACUGAGUCAUCAGACCACUUUUUCCACCCCCUCUGGCUAAUCAAUAACUACCAAGGAUGUUUUAAUCUCGGGGGGCUUUUGAUAAAUCGACCUCCGAGUGUUCGCCACGUAUUUAAGUCUUAGCACACUCGUGUGUGUGUUUUUUUUUUUUUUUUUUUUUUUUUCUUUUCUUCUAGUGUUCUUUUUACACCUGAUUCACAUCAGGAAUGUGACAGUUCAG